rnacentral:tRNA from 1 species
GGCAGUGUAGCAUAGUGGUAAGGAGCAGGGCUUGUAACCUAAAGGUUGCUGGUUCAAUUCCUGGCUGGGGCA